rnacentral:rRNA from 1 species
AACUUUCAACAACGGAUCUCUUGGUUCUCGCAUCGAUGAAGAACGCAGCGAAAUGCGAUACGUAAUGUGAAUUGCAGAAUUCCGUGAAUCAUCGAAUCUUUGAACGCACAUUGCACCCCUUGGUAUUCCAGGGGGUAUGCCUGUUUGAGCGUCAUUU